AAGGCCCUACUGUGUUUGUGUAAGAAGAAACUAUUUUUAAAACCUACAAACGUCGUAUCGGGAACUUUAAUUUGCUGGCCAUUAAUUAUGGUUAGCAAUGAGUACCCACCUUGAAAGAGGGUUGACGAAAAAAUUCUUCUCACGGCAACAGUGGAGCCUUU
rnacentral:other from 1 species